AGGAAGUGGCGGAAGGAAGGAAGGAAGGAAGGAAGUAAGUGUCGGAAGGAAGGAAGUGUCGGAAGGAAGUGUCGGAAGGAAGUGUCGGAAGGAAGGAAGGAAGUGUCGGAAGUGUCGGAAGUGUCGGAAGUGUCGGAAGGAAGGAAGGAAGGAAGGAAGGAAGGAAGGAAGGAAGGAAGGAAGGAAGGAAGGAAGGAAGGAAGGAAGGAAGGAAGGAAGGAAGGAAGGAAGGAAGACCACCUAUGGAUCUCCUGAGGAGGGACUGCAUUUUCCUUGCUAUGUCCUUGGCUGCCAAACCCAACACACUAAUCUCUGAACUACAUCUGCAGUUGCAAUGAAGACUUCCCUAGAUUCAGCUGGAGGCAGUGUCCCUCAGAGCAGUGCUACACCAUCCAGAAGAGAUACUCUGAUAGAGUAUACACCUGCAGUCCUGAAGCCUUUGAUGUUCAAGCACUGUCACAGGUUGCACAGAGAGGAUGUGGAGUCUUCAGUCUUUGAGAUGUUCCAAAUCUGUCUGGAUAUGGCCAUCAAAAAUCUGUUCUGACUGUCGGCUUUGUGAGGAGCAGGUCCAACACACUUUCCCAUCUGGCUCCUGGAGAUAAGACCAACACAAUACCAUGAAAGCAAAGAAAUGGACAUGAGCUGUUUGUGGUCAAGAUCACCAGAGAACCACAAAGGCCUCCAACUGAUUUCCAGAAGGGUCUACAAGAACAGUUUGUGCACAAUAACAAAUUUACAUAGAAAGUGAAAAAUUUAUCUCCAGGGCAGGGAAAACUCAUAUUUAAAAGGUACCCUCAUGAAGCCUGGAGGAUUUCUCUGUGUGCCAGGACCCCAGACACCCCAUCAGGUGGUUCAGUGUUGGUGCCAGGAUUAGUGAUUUCUCUUUCUUCCUUUAUUUUCUCCCUGUCUUCAAUCCAUCUCGCUCUCUCUCUUCUCUUUCACCCAGGGGCUAACAUACACAUUUCCAUUCAAAAUGUAUUAUUUAUUAAAAAAGACUUAUAAGCUUUUGUGGACCCUCUGACUUUUGUUGUCCCUUUUGACAAUGAGCAACUCUGAUACUUCCAUGCUCCCUUCUCCUUAAGGGUGGAAUACCACACCUGGUCUAAAAUAUUUUAGGCACCUAAGAUAUUUAAGAGCAGACUAAAUAGCAGUUUUAAGAGGUAAUGCAAAUGGAAGAUGCAAGAGCAAUAUUUGACAAAUUGGAGCAGAAUUUUGACAUGGGAAAACCUUGAAAUUUUAAGCUGCUUUGAAAGAAUUGGUGACCUAUUCUCUCUUCCAGCAUUCGUUAAAGACUUCAGUCUUUAAAUAAAGCAAAAAAAUCCCAUCCAGAUAUGGGUUAAAAUACAUAUGAUUCUGUUCAUACUUUGAAAACAAACAAAAGGACAAGAACCAAAACUGAAGUAAAUAUGCAGCUCUGAGGACACAGUGAUAUUGCUCUUUCUUUAUUAAUCAUUGUUAUUUCUGCAGUUUAGGUGUUGAGCUGGAUUAUUUUUAGAAUCUGUCUAGGAAAUAUUCUAAGCCUACCUCAGAAAAGCAAGACAUUUCAUGUUAUAUUUCUCAUCAUUUUUUUUGUUUAGUUGGUUUUAUUUAAUUCCAGCUUUUUAUUUGGUGGCUGUUAUUUUAGUAAUAAAAGUAACACUUGAAAAAGUACUUAUAAUUUUUGGCAAAUAUGCACCCUAGGUUUGAGUGGCCUAAACUCGGUGAAAAUGCUGUGAUGGAGUGAUUAUGGUAGGUAAGUUAGCAAAUGAGUUUAUAUCAGAAAAUCAUAUUUCUAUGAUAGUACCAUCACUCUCUCCAUCGGUUAGAACUUCAUCAUUUUAGGACAUUCAAAUGUGGUAACACUGAACAAAAUUCAAGGAUGGAUGUAGGAAAGUCACAGAUUUUCUUCCUCCCCGGUAUUAGUAGAAAAGUCAUAAAUAGACUGAAAGUUCCAAGAAACUUUCAAUUGCAUUUUUAUCUUCCAAAGAGUUCAGUCACUUACAAACUUGCUUUAAAAACAGUGGAAAGGUGACAAAUAUGCCUUGAAGUCUGGUGUCAACUUGAGCUUAGAAUAAAUGAACUAUUUCCCUUUUCCUCUCCCUUUGAUUCUCACCUCUAGGCUAGAUCUGCUGCAGAUAAGUGCUUCAGUGCAGGUAAUCUCUUAAUUGCUGUAAUUAAGCUAAAUCAAAAAUGUUAACAGCCUAAUAAUUCUUGUUAGUUUUAAAUAUAGAAAGGACAGGUUCUCAUUAACUUUUUGUUCUUACAUACAUACAAGGUCCUACUGUGGUGAUCAAGGGUUAAAAUAAAGCAGAAAUAUCUAUUCUUUAUACCUGAUUUAAAAUUCACAGGAACAUUAAAAUUCACAGAGUCAUUAAGACCCCUGGAGUUUGUCUAGUCCAGUGUGCUCCUUUACAAAGCAGGGUCAGCUGGAACAGGUUUUUGAGAACCAUAUUCACUCAGGUUUCUGAUACCUCCAAGGCUGCAGGAUUCCAUAGCCUCUGUGCAACGUGUGCAAGUGUUUGAUCACCCUCACAGCUAAAAAACCAAACCAAACCAAACAAAAAAAAAAAAAAAAAAAAAAAACCAAAAAAACCAACCAAACAAAAAACUCCUGUGUUCUUGUGAUUAGAUGGAAUUUCAUAGGUGUUCACUUGUGCCCACUGGCUCAUGUUCUGUCAAUGAUAGAACAUCCGAUAAAGGUUUGGUUUCAUCUUCUUCAUUCCUUCCUUCCUAUCAGGAAUUUGUGCACAUUGACAAGUUCCCUGUGAGACAGUCCUCUUCUCUGGGAGGAGGACUCCCAGCUGCAAGUCCCAACUCUCUGAACCUCUUUCUGUAUGUCAGAUGUUCCAGAGUCUGAAUCAUCUCUGUAGACCUGCUCUAACCUAUCCCCAGUAGUACAGCCUGUUUGUCUUCAGCUGAAGAGCCCAGAAUUGGCGCUGGAGUUCCAGUUCUAGUGCUUAGCACAGAUGAAGGACCACCUUCCUUAGCUUGCUGGCAACACUGCUAAUGCAACCCAGGAGGUUGAUGGACUUCUGUACCACAUGAUAUUAAACAAACCCAGAACAAUCUUGUUCAGGAAAUAGUGUUUGACUUCAUAUUUCAAUAGGUAGAUAGUAUCAUGGGUAUGUUUUUCUUUGCAUAACUUUCCUGGUGCUCUCUAAUCAAUUGCAUGUUUGGCUUCAUUAAGAUGUCAGUGAAGAUUUUUUUUUUGUAACUGAUUUUGGUUUUGGUGGGUUUUUUUUUCUUUAAUCUUUGGUUUCUAUGUAAAAGGAUUUAAGCUCCAUUUAGAGAGAUUAGUUUGGUGAUUAGAGAAGAGAUCACAGACAACUGUGAUUUCCAUCAUCAGAUACUGCAUAGAUACCAGAGAGUUAAAACCAUUAAAUUAUUCAUUUGAUUUUGUGAGUUGUUCUUUCUUUAUCCGUAGAAAACUGUGUUUCUUUAUAACUAUUUAAAUGAAUUUUAAAUAUUCUCCUGAGCCUUAAUCAAUGUCAAGUCUGGAAUUCCCAUUGACUUUGAAAGUAAAAGAUUCAGAUUCAAACUGUGUAAGAAUAAGAGGUACAUUUCAGACUAGAAAGUUCUGAAAAUUGGCAAUAAUUAAAAAACAUAUCAACAGAUGACUUUUGAAUUAUUCAAGUAAAUCAAAGAGUAAAUCAAAAGAUGCCUUCCAGCUCCUGUAUUAUUCUCAGCUGUGAGUGUAUUUCACAGAAUCAGAGCUUCCAUCACCCUUUUUGCACUCUGAGUGCAAAGAACAAACCAAGACUUGCAGAGAGAAACCAGGGCAAAGCUUUCUGUUGAUCUUUAAUUGCUUUAAGAGCUUUUGUGAAGCCAUGCAGCACAGUGUGCAUCUGACAAAAAAGUUAUGGGGCAAAGGUCAGUCACUCUUUAGUUCUAGUACAUCAUCUCUAAGCUGGAUACAUCAGGCAAAAUUGCAGUAUAUAAAUAACAUUGUCUAUGGCAAUAUAUCAGUGCAUUAAUUUUCCAGUAAAAAAAUUUCUGAUAUAAACUCUUUUGCUAACUUAUCUGUAACUUAAGCACAGGGUACCUUCUUGUGAAAAAUGGUCUUUAAGUACUUUUUAAAAGUACUAUUUAAACUACUGGAAUGACAGCCACCAAAAUAUAAAAUCUAGAGAAGAAAAAAACAAAAGAGGAUGGGAAAUACAACAAAAUAUUUGUCAUUCCUGAGGUAGGGUUUAGAAAAUUUCCUAUUCAGCCUCUAAGAAUAAUCUAGUUCAACACCCAAGCUACUGAAACUAUAGUGAUGAAUAAGUAAGAGCAAUAUCAAUGUGUAUUCAGUCAGGUAUAUACUUCAGCAUUCUUGUCUGUUUGUUUGUUCUCAGUGUAUGAACUGCAAUAUUGUUAAACAAACAGUGUUGAAAAUAGUGCAUAAUCACAUGCAGUGUUUAAGCUUUUCACUUGGGAAAUAUACUUAAAACAUUGCAAUUUCAAUAAAACCCUUAUCUGGAAAUGGAAUGUACUUUGUUUUUUGUCCUAACCUCAGCUGGUAAAAACCCACUAUCAAGGCCAAAGUCUAUCAAGAUGACUGAUUUACACGAGGUAUAUACCUAGUGUUUGAAUUACAUACUAGUACAACUGUAGUAAUAAAUUGUACAGUUCAUACUAGUGUAUGUCUAAUUUCCUGAUAAGUUUGACACUUAGUCAUAAUAAUAUAAUAGUAUUAUACAAUAUGAAGUCAGAAGAUUAAAUCAUAUAAAGCAAAAGCAGGAACCUCUGGGACACAAUGUGAAUGUAUUUUAAGGUACUAAAAUUGGAUGCAUCUCAAGGUAUUAAAAUAUGACAUACUACAGAAAAUCAGUGGAAUUCCUAAUAGAGACACUUUGAAGGAGCAGUGCCCAUUUUGGCAGAAAACAAGAGCUCUUCUAUGGUAACUUAACCCCAUAGAGCAAUUCACAAAUUCACUUUUGGCUUAGGCACUUAUUUUAAACAGCUAUUUUCUAGUACCAAAGGCUCUUUUGGGAGUUCAUCCUAAAGAAAAAGGAAGGAAAGCCUCAUAACUCUAAUACAUGAGCUCUUUUGCCUCUUCCCAGCUCUGUGGGGCACUUGUGAACUAAGCCAAGAAUACACACUUUCUCAUACAGGCUUUUUUCCUGCCUCCUUUUAUGAGACCACAAGAAGUUGCUUCCUCUUAAUCUUUUUCAGGGAUUUCACAGAGGAAGCAAACUGUCCUCAGCUCUUUUACAGGCUUUAGCAGACUGUCAUCUGGUGCUGCAGAAGGCUGGCAGCAUGCAGACUGCUUUAUAAAAAAUAAAAGAAACAGGUAGCUGCUUUGUGCAGUUAAUAGCUUAAAUGCAUACAGUCAAAGAAAUCUUGCUGCAGGGUUUUAGGAAAAAACAUAAGCUUUUAUUUCCCCAUUAAAUAUUACCUCUUCUCCUCAGAAUUCCCCAGUAAACAGUAUUUUACCCAACUUUACUUUUACAUUCACCUAGUUUACUAAGAUACAAAUGAGAUUGAUGAGGUUGAUGCUCAUUUGUCAAAAAAAUGCUAUUUUUUCUGGGUAGGAGUUGAUUAUAUGUUAGAGUUUCCUUUUUGUAAUAGUAAUUAACUCAGUGUUUUGCCCUUCAAGUUAUAUGUUGAUGACAAAAACAAGGAUACGAUAUGUUUCUAGGAGACAGGAGUUCUAGGUGGAGGUUGUAAAAAGGAAAAAAAGUGUCAGAGAGAAUUAAAGGGACUGGUAUGCCAAAGAAAGAGCACAGAAAGGGUCAAGAAAUCAAAUAAGAAAAUCAGGUAACAAAAGAGAAAAAGAAAAAAAACCCUCAACUGUAAACUUUGUUUGGGCAUGAGGGCAGUCUCCCAGGGAAUUCCACUGACAAUCUCCUUGGUUAGCUGGAAGUCUGUCUUCCUAAAGUUCAAGAGCCUGAAUUUACUCCUUUUCUGAUCUAUAUUUCUCAAGACUAUGAACUCCAGCAAUCCAUGAUUGCUGUAGCCCAGGCUACCUCCAGUUCUGACAUUGCCAAUUAGCUCUCUUAUUUUGGUGACCAUCAAAUCUAG